CUGAACCAGCCAAGUAGCGUGAAGGAUGAAGGUCCUACGGAUCGUAAACUUCUUUUAUACGGGAAUAAAGUAUCCUACGUGUAGGAUAUUGUAUGUACCGUAUGAAUAAGCAUCGGCUAACUCCGUGCCAGCAGCCGCGGUAAUACGGAGGAUGCGAGCGUUAUCCGGAUUUAUUGGGUUUAAAGGGAGCGCAGACGGGAGAUUAAGUCAGUUGUGAAAGUUUGCGG
rnacentral:rRNA from 1 species